rnacentral:rRNA from 1 species
UACGUAGGUGGCAAGCGUUGUCCGGAUUUACUGGGCGUAAAGAGCGCGCAGGCGGUCGUUCAAGUCGCGUGUGAAAGCCCCCGGCUCAACUGGGGAGGGUCACGCGAUACUGAUCGACUCGAAGGCAGGAGAGGGAAGUGGAAUUCCCGGUGUAGUGGUGAAAUGCGUAGAUAUCGGGAGGAACACCGGUGGCGAAGGCGGGUCUCUGGGCCGAUACUGACGCUGAGGAGCGAAAGCGUGGGGAGCGAACAGG